UACGUAGGGUGCAAGCGUUAUCCGGAAUUAUUGGGCGUAAAGAGCUCGUAGGCGGUCUGUCGCGUCGGCUGUGAAAUCCCGAGGCUCAACCUCGGGUCUGCAGUCGAUACGGGCAAACUUGAGUGUUGCAGGGGAGACUGGAAUUCCUAGUGUAGCGGUGAAAUGCGUAGAGAUCGGGAGGAACACCUGUGGCGAAGGCGGCCGACUGGGCCGACCCUGACGCUGAGGCGCGAAGGCGUGGGGAGCGAACGGG
rnacentral:rRNA from 1 species